GAUGAAGAACGCGGCGAAAUGCGAUACGUAAUGUGAAUUGCAGAAUUCAGUGAAUCAUCGAAUCUUUGAACGCAUAUUGCGCUCUUUGGUAUUCCGAAGAGCAUGCUUGUUUGAGUAUCAGUAAACACCUCAACCUCUUCUUGAUUUUUCAAAAGGAGGGUGGACUUGAGCUAUCCCAACAACCUUUACCGGUCGGCGGGCGGCUUGAAAUGCAGGUGCAGCUGGACUUUUAUCUGAGCUAAAAGCAUAUCUAUUUAGUCCUCGUCAAACAGGAUUAUUACUUUUGCUGCAGCUAACAUAAAGGAUAAUUGUCCUCUUUGCUGACUGAUGCAGGAUUUUACGACACUUUAUGUGUUGUUCAACUCGAUCUCAAAUCGAGUAAGACUACCCGCUGAACUUAAGCAUAUCAAUAAGCGGAGGA
rnacentral:misc_RNA from 1 species